GCUGAACUGGAGGUUGAACAGUGAAUGGCAGAGGAAGAUAUGCCUCUGUGAAUGGCAGAUGCAUCUAACAGCAAUAACUAACAUAAGCAAACCCUGAGAAUGACCCUACGGUCUAAGACAAAUGUGUGUUUGGAGUUCUGUGCUGAAGAAUCCGGGCGUGGCCAACCUGGAGAUUCAUUCCGUAUCUAUGAGGAGCAUCAGAACCCCCAGCCCAUCUCAUUGAAUGGGCAGACUGUCCAGAGGACGGAGGCACUUUGUUUUGGGUUAAACAAAGGUUGUCAGGUGGAAGUUGCUAAGAGAAAGGAGCUUAGUGAAAAUACUAUAUAAACUGCAUCUUUUUUCAAAUGGUGGAAUCCUGUCCAGCCUGCCACCACUGGACUGAAUGAAGAAAGAAAAUUACAGAUGGAAGAGUUGAAAUACAAAAAGGAAUCAAGAAAAAGACAAUCUUUCAGUUAUAAAUAAGUAAUGCCUCAACUUGUUGGGAUGCUUUCUCGGAUGAGGAGGUGCAUAUGACCCAAGUCUUCCUUUCUGAGAGAACUGAGUGGUUGAUGAUCCUGCCUAGAGAUGUCCGUGGACUUGUACAAAACUGCAAAUGAUACCAUUAGGAAGUGUCCCAGGACAGUCCCUGAAUUAUUCCUUUCUCUUCCGGGCUCUUUGUUCUGCAGCACAGCCCUCUAUCCCAUCUAACUCUACAAAAUAAUUUUUUGCAUGUUCUCCCAAGAGAGUGAGAAGCCCAAAACAACCGGGAGACUAUUACAACUUUCAAUUCGGUGGAAUAAACUUCGCGUUUCCUCCUGGAAGCAUACCUCCACUGAGAGGUAAAGUGGAAAAAGAGAGAUGAUCCUGGUCAAAGGACAGUUGAGAUGUCUCCAAGAAAGUCUUAAAAGUGUACACUUGUCCCAUCGAGUAAAAGAAAAUUGCUUCUGGUGUCCUCUAUUUGUUGGAAAUUGUGGGGGGGGGGGAAACAUUUGUCAGAUUAAUGACUCGAUGCUCAAUAUUAAGGGCUAUACUG